rnacentral:rRNA from 1 species
GACGAACGCUGGCGGCAUGCCUAACACAUGCAAGUCGAGCGAGCGGCGGACGGGUGAGUAAUGUAUGGGGACUGCCCGAUCGAGGGGGAUAACUACUGGAAACGGUGGCUAAUACCGCAUACUAUCGGAUAACCCAUAUGGGAUUAGCUAGUAGGUGGGGUAAAGGCUCACCUAGGCGACGAUCGCUAGCUGGUCUGAGAGGAUGAUGAGCAACACUGGGACUGGGAAACGGCCCAGACUACUACGGAGGCAGAAGUGGGGAAUAUUGCACAAUGGGCGAAAGCCUGAUGCAGCAAUGCCGCGUGUAUGAAGAAGGCCUUAGGGUUGUAAAGUACGUUCAGCGGGGAGGCGUUACCCGCAGAAGAAGCAACGGCUAACUCCGUGCCAGCAGCCGCGGUAAUAC